rnacentral:lncRNA from 1 species
AUGCUUGAGUCCUUGAUAGUUUACAAUUUACAGUUCUUACUAUGUCGUGACUCUGUGGUGGGAUCACAAACUGAACUGAGUGGGUUCUCCUGGCUCCUGCACCUGGGUGGACCCAGCUGUUGCAGCUGCCUGUGGACAGGCCAGGGGUGGGAGUGGGGGAGGGCAGUUGGUAGGCACUUCAGGUGGAUGAUUUGGUUCAUGACUUGUGCUUUUUCUUGUUUUGCCUGCAGAUGGCAGCACGCCCUGGACUUGUCUGCACCGCAAGCGGCCCUGAGGAGGGACAGCAGGGAGACAAGAAAAUGGACUCCCCUCUGCAACCUGCAAUGUACCAGGGUUUGCAGCCUAUUGGAGGAAAACAACAUCAAGAGUAUGCUGCUAAAACACUGAGGUUUGUGGACCGGACUUCUCUGUGGCCCAAGUAUUUGGUUUCUACUUCCUCAUUCUCAGCCUCCUCCUACCCCCACCCAACUGCAUCACUGAG